GAAGGUAUAGCUCAGUGGUAGAGUGCAUGUCUAGCAUGCAUGAGGUCCUGGGUUCAAUCCCCAGGACCUCCA
rfam:Camelus ferus unplaced genomic scaffold scaffold878, whole genome shotgun sequence.